GCAACGCUGAGGUCCGGGACGCAAUACUGAACCUGACUUUGACGGCUCUGGCUCCCAGAUUCCCUGUCUUCCAAACCAGUGACUACCAGCUGUGGUUCCAGAUAAAUCUGGUUGUAGUGCUGGCCAGCUUCCGUCCUGAGGUUCUAGUGGUGAUCCCCGCCAACCUCACCUGUGACGCUUACGAUGCAAUAUUGAAAGGCCUGGAGAACGCUUUGGCACUUCUCCCAUCUCAAGCUGCAGUGGAGCUGACGUCAAGCAUCGAUGAACUUCUACAGUCACCCCCAAAAGGCUGCACGCCUCCUCGCCC